UGCCAGCAGCCGCGGUAAGACGAACCGUACGAACGUUAUUCGGAAUUACUGGGCUUAAAGGGUGCGUAGGCUGCACGGAAAGUUGGGUGUGAAAGCCCUCAGCUCAACUGAGGAAUUGCAUCCAAAACUGCCGUGCUUGAGGGAGACAGAGGUGAGCGGAACUCAAGGUGGAGCGGUGAAAUGCGUUGAUAUCUUGAGGAACACCGGUGGCGAAAGCGGCUCACUGGGUCUCUUCUGACGCUGAGGCACGAAAGCUAAGGUAGCAAACGGGAUUAGAUA
rnacentral:rRNA from 1 species